rnacentral:rRNA from 1 species
UACAUGCAAGUCGAGCGAGCGGAACCAACAGAUUUACUUCGGUAAUGACGUUNNGAAAGCGAGCGGCGGAUGGGUGAGUAACACGUGGGGAACCUGCCCCUAAGUCUGGGAUACCAUUUGGAAACAGGUGCUAAUACCGGAUAAUAAAGCAGAUCGCAUGAUCAGCUUUUGAAAGGCGGCGUAAGCUGUCGCUAAGGGAUGGCCCCGCGGUGCAUUAGCUAGUUGGUAAGGUAACGGCUUACCAAGGCGACGAUGCAUAGCCGAGUUGAGAGACUGAUCGGCCACAUUGGGACUGAGACACGGCCCAAACUCCCACGGGAGGCAGCAGUAGGGAAUCUUCCACAAUGGACGCAAGUCUGAUGGAGCAACGCCGCGUGAGUGAAGAAGGUUUUCGGAUCGUAAAGCUCUGUUGUUGGUGAAGAAGGAUAGAGGUAGUAACUGGCCUUUAUUUGACGGUAAUCAACCAGAAAGUCACGGCUAACUAC